rnacentral:lncRNA from 1 species
CCGCCCCUUCCAUCCUCCCGAGCGUCUCGCCCCGCUCACAGGUUCCGCCCUUGGCCUCUGGUCCCGCCCCACUGCCAGCACCUGGAGCAGUUUCCGCAGUCGAUGAUGGCGUUGUAGGAGGCGUUUACCGAGCCGAAGUAGUACUGGGUCUGUUUCAUGACGCAGCUGCUCUCGCGCGUCUCGGGGUUCCCCUCGGCCUCCGCGGGGUCUGCGAGGGCCCAGAGCGCCUCAGCUCCGCCCACAGACCCUGGCAAGGUCUCCGGCCUCCCUCAGUGGUAGGCCCCACCCUCCCCAUGGAGUCGUCUUAGCUCAGAUUGGGGACCCGGACUUGAGGAGGCGCCUCCAAAGCCCUACCUACCUGCUUGGAACCAGCUGUGGUAGAUGAGGCCGUAGAGAAGCUGCUGGAACAGGGACCUGCAGCGCACGGGGAGCCGAGUGCAGGUGGUCAGCAGAGGACGAUGCCGUGCCCUACUUCUCUUCUGAGCCCUGCCGGCCAGGGAGCACCUUCUCUACCCACCUCCCGCUCAGGACUCACCAGGCGGCAGCAGAGGUCCACCAGGCCAGCACCAGGAAUCCUCCAUCAUCAAUGAGGACACACAGCUGCGGCGGUAGAAGCUGGCAUUGAAGGGCUCAGGGUUCUCUGUCCAGUCCUCAGCUGCCCUGGAGCACCCAAGAGGCAGACUGGCUGGGUGAUGCCUACGUGUUGAGAUCCUGGUCCCUCCACACACGCUCUACCAGCUGCUGCGUGAUGCCCG